AGUGGUCGUACAUACAAACGUUCACCAAAUUGUCCCAGUCAAUGGAUGAAUUUAAUGUGUCAAUCAAUGGCCACAGCCACACUGUUUUGAAUUUCAUUCUAUGACUCACUACUCAUCAGUUGAACAUUCCCGCAGAGUUUCAAAAGCAUUACAUAAUGACUUUGCAUUUACACCUUAACACCACCUUAUGCAGAUAUUUUGUAUUUUACAAAUUCCUGAUAAGUUUGGUUGAAAUUCGCCAA
rnacentral:lncRNA from 1 species